rnacentral:rRNA from 1 species
GUGGGGAAUAUUGCACAAUGGGGGAAACCCUGAUGCAGCAACGCCGCGUGAAGGAAGAAGGCUUUCGGGUUGUAAACUUCUGUUAAUGGGGACGAUAAUGACGGUACCCAAAGAGGAAGCCACGGCUAACUACGUGCCAGCAGCCGCGGUAAUACGUAGGUGGCGAGCGUUGUCCGGAAUUACUGGGCGUAAAGGAUGCGUAGGCGGAUAGUUAAGUGAGAUGUGAAAUACCCGGGCUCAACCUGGGGGGUGCAUUUCAAACUGGUUAUCUAGAGUGCAGGAGAGGAAAGUGGAAUUUCUAGUGUAGCGGUGAAAUGCGUAGAUAUUAGGAAGAACACCAGUGGCGAAGGCGACUUUCUGGACUGUAACUGACGCUGAGGCAUGAAAGCGUGGGGAGCAAACAGGAUUAGAUACCCCAGUAGUCC